GAUGAAGAACGUAGCGAAAUGCGAUACUUGGUGUGAAUUGCAGAAUCCCGUGAACCAUCGAGUCUUUGAACGCAAGUUGCGCCCGAAGCCAUUAGGCCGAGGGCACGCCUGCCUGGGCGUCACACGUCGUUGCCCCCCCAUCUACUCCUUCGGGAUUGCGGGGGGCGGAUGAUGGCCUCUCGUGCGCCUCGUCGCGCGGUUGGCCUAAAUGCCAAGUCCUCGGCGACGCACGCCACGACAAUCGGUGGUUGCGAAACCUCGGUUGCCUGUCGUGUGCGGUCGUCGCGCAUCGAGGGCUCGAAAAAAUUGCCGGGCUUCGGCGCGACUUUCAACGCGACCCCAGGUCAGGCGGGGUUACCCGCUGAAUUUAAGCAUAUCAAUAAGCGGAGGA
rnacentral:misc_RNA from 1 species